UGGGGGAUAGCCCGGCGAAAGCCGGAUUAAUACCGCAUACGCCCUAAGGGGGAAAGUGGGGGACCGCAAGGCCUCACGUUAUUGGAGCGGCCGAUGGCUGAUUAGCUAGUUGGUGGGGUAAAGGCCUACCAAGGCGACGAUCAGUAGCUGGUCUGAGAGGACGAUCAGCCACACUGGGACUGAGACACGGCCCAGACUCCUACGGGAGGCAGCAGUGGGGAAUUUUGGACAAUGGGCGAAAGCCUGAUCCAGCAAUGCCGCGUGUGCGAAGAAGGCCUUCGGGUUGUAAAGCACUUUUGUUCGGGAAGAAAACGUUCGUGUUAAUACCAUGGGCGGAUGACGGUACCGGAAGAAUAAGCACCGGCUAACUACGUGCCAGCAGCCGCGGUAAUACGUAGGGUGCGAGCGUUAAUCGGAAUUACUGGGCGUAAAGCGUGCGCAGGCGGCUAUGUAAGACAGGUGUGAAAUCCCCGAGCUUAACUUGGGAAUUGCAUUUGUGACUGCAUGGCUAGAGUGUGUCAGAGGGAGGUGGAAUUCCACGUGUAGCAGUGAAAU
rnacentral:rRNA from 1 species